AGGACGAACGCUGGCGGCGUGCUUAACACAUGCAAGUCGAGCGGAAAGGCCCUUCGGGGUACUCGAGCGGCGAACGGGUGAGUAACACGUGAGCAACCUGCCCUUAGCUCCGGGAUAGCUCCGGGAAACCGGAAUUAAUACCGGAUAUGACCUAGGCCGACAUCGGCUGUGGUGGAAAGUUUUUCGGCUGGGGAUGGACUCGCGGCCUAUCAGCUUGUUGGUGGGGUAAUGGCCUACCAAGGCGACGACGGGUAGCCGGCCUGAGAGGGCGACCGGCCACACUGGGACUGAGACACGGCCCAGACUCCUACGGGAGGCAGCAGUGGGAAUCUUGCGCAAUGGGCGAAAGCCUGACGCAGCGACGCCGCGUGGGGGAUGAAGGCCUUCGGGUUGUAAACCCUUUCAGCAGGGACGAAGCGAAAGUGACGGUACCUGCAGAAGAAGCGCUGGCUAACUACGCGCCAGCAGCCGC
rnacentral:rRNA from 1 species